ensembl:lncRNA
CUUCACAGUUCCCAACCUUUCCCUGACAGAACAAAGUCAGCAGACAUGUCUCCCAGAGGUCCUUCUGCUCUCCUGGUUGCAUCCCAAAUGGAAUCCUAUGCCCUACACACAGUAGUGCACUACAGGGCCCUGGUCAAAUGUAGGGGACAAUAUAGGGAAUAGGGUGCUAUUUGGGACUCAACCUUUGUCCAAGCGGCAGUGCGGUGGGUGGGACACACCCAUCCCAGUGUUAAUGGUCAACCCAAUCAAGUUGGCCGGCGGGAGGAAAAGGCGCAGCCAGUCUGGAGGUCUCGGUAUAGAACAAGGGAACAGCAGAGGGGACAGACAGAGACCCUUUCACACCAAGCUGCCUGACAGAAACAACAAUAAAGUUCACAGAGUGAUUCAUACCAGGACUCCGCCAGGGCGCCACUGCGUUCCGCACUGCCCCGUCAGGAAGAGGUAAUGCCCUCCAUCCUCUCUACCCUCUGUCUGAGUAUGACGUGCUCUUCCACCUGGCCGGCUUCCCCUCUGGAACCAUCCGGAAGAAAGAUGCCUUCCUGCUGCCCUUUUCUAGCGUUCCUCCUUCUGGACUGAUGGAUGCUGGGGCUUUGAGGGGAUAAUGGACAUACUCAUUUACUAUGGAACUAUCUGACUGUGUAUAUGUGUGGGUGUCUGCGUGCGUCCGUCUGUGCUUGUGCGUGUGUGUCUGGUGUGCGUGUGUGUCCAGUGAGUGUGUGUGUCCGGUGUGUGUGUGUCCGGUGUGUGUGUGUGUGUGGUGUGUGUCCCCUGUGUGUGUGUCUGGUGUGUGUGUGUGUGUGUGUCCGGUGUGUGUGUGUCCGGUGUGUGUGUGUCCAGUGUGUGUGUGUGUGUGUGUGUGUCCGGUGUGUGUGUGUCCGGUGUGUGUGUGCCCGGUGUGUGUGUGUCUCCGGUGUGUGUGUGUCCGGUGUGUGUGUGCCCGGUGUGUGUGUCCUGUGUGUGUGUGUCCGGUGUGUGUGUGUGUGUGUCCGUGUGUGUGUGCCCGGUGUGUGUGAGCCCGGUGUGUGUGUGUGUCCUGUGUGUGUGUGCCCGGUGUGUGUCCUGUGUGUGUGUGUCCGGUGUGUGUGUGUCCCGAGCCAAUUCCAACAUUUGGAAGCAUUCUUCCAGUCUCCGUCACCUUAAUCUGGAGCUGGAAGCUCAAUCUGCUAUGACAGCGUCUCUGCAUCACAAUACAUUCCAGCAGGUCUCCCCAGUCACAUGGAUCAUUUCAUCCUGACACAGAAGGACAAAUAAAUGCUUUUUAAAUUUUUUUUAUUUUUUACAGGCUCUUUAUUUGCACGUUAGAAAUAAAUCCUUUUUCAUUUGCGCCUUAGAAGUAUAAACACUUCUUUAAAGAUGCACAUGUUAAAACAUGUUACUGUCUUAACCUUGCCAGACAAUUAUCA